GAUGAACGCUGGCGGCGUGCCUAAUACAUGCAAGUCGAGCGAACAGACGAGAAGCUUGCUCCUCUGACGUUAGCGGCGGACGGGUGAGUAACACGUGGAUAACCUACCUAUAAGACUGGGAUAACUUCGGGAAACCGGAGCUAAUACCGGAUAAUAUAUUGAACCGCAUGGUUCAAUAGUGAAAGACGGUUUUGCUGUCACUUAUAGAUGGAUCCGCGCCGCAUUAGCUAGUUGGUAAGGUAACGGCUUACCAAGGCGACGAUGCGUAGCCGACCUGAGAGGGAGGUCGGGCACACUUGAACUGGAACACGGUCCAGACUCCUAAGGGAGGCAGCAGUAGGGAAACAUCCGCAAUGGGGGGAAGCCUGACUGAGCAAAGCCGCGUGAGAGGUGGAGGUCUUCGGAUCGGUAAACUCUGUUAUGAGGGAAGAACAAAUGUGUAAGUAACUAUGCACGUCUUGACGGUACCUAGUAAGAAAGGCACGGCUAACUACGUG
rnacentral:rRNA from 1 species